GCCCAGUAAGAUACCAGAACACCAGCACAGCACUUCCUGCCGGCUCCUUUUUCUCCCACCGCGGCUCCAACCUCCCCGCAGUCCCCCCGGGGCUCAGGAGCGCACAGCGGGCCCGCACCGCCGCUUUCAUUUUGCAGCCGCCUCGCGCAGAAACGCGGCGCGACUUCCCUGCUCCGCUGCGGCUCCUCGCGACGGAGCCGCCACCCGCCGCUCCCCCAGCGGCUCGGGGGUCCCCGGCCCUCCCCGCCCCACACAGCGGUCCGCACACAGUGCUCUUAUCGCCAAACAAGGCUUCCUUCCCAUUUUGUAAAAUGAGGGCGAGAAGGCUGCGGGAACGUGGUCGGCUGUCAUAUGGUUGUCAAAAGCAGGUGGCAUGGCAAGUCUUGCUGGCAUGAGAUCUAACACUACAAGUAGCACAAUGACUUUGCUGCACCGCCAGAAUAUUGCUGGGAAGGAGCAUUGGAACAGCCUUUCAUUCACCUGUUUUUCAUCAGAAAUAAGUUUCCCUGCCACUUGUAUGCUGCCUAUAUCUCACCUCCUGGUCAUGCAGAAAUCAUUGAUCCAGAUAUUAGGAAGUGUCUACCAAAGACUGACUGAUGUAUGAAGAGGAAUGGAUCAAAGAAAAGGAAUCCAGAACGAAGAUUAAACUUCAAGGAAAAUCACACAGAUACAGAAGUGCACAGCUGAACAACUUUGCAUUGCCUUGGAGCACAUAGGUGAAAAAUGAAUUAAAGGAAUAUGCCUUCAACAUGCUAGGUUGGGAUUCCAACUCCAUAUUGCUCUAAUCAUAGCAGAGUACUUGUUGCAUGGAGGCAAAAUCUGGUGGAAUUAAAAUAAAUGCUUGUUCUGGUUAAUGGGUACAACCAGCUGUUUUUGAAAAUUAGAUGCAAGGGGUCUUGAGACUGGAGCAUUAUCAAUAUAUGUACUCCUCCAGAUAAGAAUGCAAAGCUAAAGACUCACUAGGGUGGGAAAACCCUUUUUUGGCUAUAAAUCUUAUUUUAGGAGGACUACUGGAAUUACUGGGAGAAAUUGGAGGGAACAGAAAGAAGGUGAUUGUUUCCAAAUGGCCACUUAGUCUUCAUCAUGCAAUACUCAUGCUGGAACAGGGGAUGGAUAAUUUCCAUUGACUUAACUGUUUUGAUGAAUUACUGUUGCAAGUGAGGGAGCUGCUGCAUUAGGAGGAUUUUUGCCUGGACAGUCCUGCACAACAGACAACUAAAUCAGAUUCAGUCCUCAGGAGGGAUCAAAAACAUCAUGGAUUCCUCACUGCUUCGUCCUCUCAAAUUUGCAUUAGAUUCCAGCAUGUUUAACAAGGGUUCUUAAUUAAUUCAUAUUAUUUCACUGAAGAUAAAGUGUGCAAAUCUUAUGAAAACAUUUUCACUACUUGGAAGCAGGAGAUGGAUUCUUUCCUGUGCUGUGCUUUGGAAGUUAGGCUGUGAUUUUUUCUCCACUACUUGGAUAUAUGAUUCUAUCAAGCUGCCUUUAAAGUAGAAAAUUUGGUACCUUUCCCUCUUGCAGCUGUUUAAGAAUUUCAUUGCAUUGUUUACAGAUUUUUAUCAAGCUUUUCCAGAUGAUGUUUUAUACUGCCACUUCCAAGGAAAUCUUAUACCAACGGGUUUAAGCAGUGAUUAAAAUAUGGUAUGCAGGCAAAUUGGCCAUCUUUCAAGGCUAUCCUACAACUUCAGCUGUGUUAUUCAUAUUAAAAUCAGGAAAAGACUACGGGAACUUAUCCGCAUACAUUUAAUCUUCUAGCAUUAAAUGGUUGGCUGCUGUUAUUUUAAUUGAAAAAUAAGGUAAAUGGUACACUGUAUUCUUCAAAUCCUUGUUACUAGCUGAGAAAGAGGUUUCAUAAAACAACAUUAGCAGAGCAAACUGUCUUGUUAUCCACACACCAGUGAUUAUGCUAUGCCAAUGGUAUAUGAGAAUAGUCCAAAAUCCAAGUACUAUACGGACCAAGCAGUGGUUUUCUGUUUGUGGGCUGCCAGUGUGAUUUGUAUGACUCUUCUCUUUAUUUCCCAAAGUCUUGCGCUACAUCACUUUUCACUUUUGUGUUACUUGGCAAGGGAUAAUUGUGCAUGUUGCAGCAGUUAUUUGGGAAAGGUUGGAUAUAAUUGUUAUUGGCACUUCGUUCUAUGGGCUUUGUGUUCCAGAUUGAGUUAUUCAGUUGGGACAUUAGAUGACUGUUGAAAGCUUUUGUCAUAGCUGGACAUUAUCCACCAGUCUCUGAAAGCCAUUUCACAGUCUGAGAAAUGCACAAGAGAGUGGCCUGUAAAGAUAAGUGAGGAAAUAAAGAAAAGCAAGGCCUAUCAGCAGACAGUCCAUCAACUCUGAUUUUUGUGAAGAUGCAGCUUCUGCAUGAAGUUGUUUUAGGAGCAGGGAGAUAGAUAUGCCAGGGUCAAAGGUAGCUAGUAACAACCUGACAUCCCAGACAGCUCAAUGCUUGCUUUUUCUGCUCUUCCCCUCCCUCAGAGCAUAAUACACAGUACUGCUAGAAACUGGCCUCUUCUUUACCAAGUCUGUCGUUCCUCAAGAAAGAAAUGGGUUGGCUUUUUCCAAAGGCAGACAGAUCAUGGCUCUGCCUUUCCCUCAGCGAUGCUGCCUGAUCCAGCACACAGUUGUGCAGAGCAGCCACCAAGAUUGCAGCAAAAUCCAUUUCCGUAUCCACUCCUGCUAUUUGCCCAGUUUUAGACAAGAAACGAAGAUAGAGGCUUGUUCCCAAGCAUAAGCUUGGUACUAUGGAGCUGUGUCCUGGAGCCCUACCUGCUGCCAUCCUGCUUCCCAUCCCCUUUGGUUAGAUAAAGCAGAAGAAAGUUGCUUAUAUUAGAAUUCCACAGCAAAGCGCUUAGGAUCUGUAAAUGCUAAGAUCUGUCUUGCACAAUCGCAUUCCUCCUUGCCUAAUCAAUUAAACACUGGAGACCUACCUUGUGGCAGUUCUGAAUAGUUGUGGGUGCUGGCAGUACUGCAAAUGAAGCGUUGGUAAUAUUUGUCCGAUGCUAGGCCAGCUUUUUAUCACAAAAUGUAUUUGGUAAUUAAUUCUUAAGGAUGUUAAUCAAGUUGCAAUUCUAUUUGACACCUGCUUUCACAGCUAGAUAAGACCACAGGUCUUACAUGGCCUCAUGACACAUUACCCUUCGUAGCAAAAUCAGGUUAAUGCGUUCCUGCUCCCUUGCACAUCAGCCAUGCCUUCUCGGCUGUGCAAAUGUGACUGCUUGUCCACCACACUAGGCACUGGGUCAGGGAACCGUUCCAGCAUAAGUGAAAAAGGGCAAGUAAAAAAAAAAGCGUAUUUUGCUGUCAGCCCAGGAAAAAAAAUUCAUCUUCAAUGUCAAGCCACUGAGAAAUGAAAGAGCAGCAGGCAGCGGGGAGAGAGGCUGAGAGAUGUUAUAACCUGGUAAAGUUGCUGCAGAUUUCCAUGUCGUCAAACAUUUUAUAGCCUCAGAACUUCUAAACUACCUGUCAUAGCAAGUAUUACCUGUACGAUGCUUUUGAUAAACAUAGAGUUUUAUCAUAUUGCUAGCUUUAUACACCCGUUGUAACAGAUAUAUAACAGCGUAGACAACAGACCUGGCAUUUGGGUGAUGCCUUGUCUGAUCUGUUUUUUCCAUCACUUCCUCUCUUGUCACCCACUUUUGUAAGUUUUUUUUGUUUUGAAGCCCUAAGCAGUGCCAGCUUUGGCCGGAUUCAUCUGUGUAUAGUUUCAGCAGGUGUGACCACGCAGCUGGGUUUUCUGCUGAAUCCCAAGUACUGGAUGCAUCCAUGACUUACGCAGAAAUUCUGUACCACUCUAGAGCAUCAGCCUCUUUGUGCAAUACAGGAAUGCAAUGUGGGUGUCUAGCAAGGUUUUGGGUGCCACCAAGGAUAUUUGUUGCAGGAGAACAGGAUUUUUAUCAUUCGCAUUGACACAGAUACUUAAACUCUGCCAGCAUCUCAGUAUAGGCAGAAUCUAGGCCAUUUGGACCUUUCUAAGGACUCUUUAAUUACAUUAUCUCUCAAUUUUGUUCACUAUAAAGUCUGUUAAAAUGGAAGGAUAGAAUGUAGUUUGUUUAAUGCUGGAUUUACUCUGAGUUAAUUGAAAAUAGAAUAGGGAAUAAAAUUCAGGCACUGUUCUACAGAGCGCUUAUCUCAAUCAUAACAAACACAUGCUAAGCACUGAAGGAGGCAAACUGUGAGUGAAGGAGAAAAAAUUGUAAGUGAUCACAUAGGUAUGGCAUGUAUUAUAAUUCAUCUAUCUAAGAAAGAUUAAGAUUUGAAAGAAAAUAUUCCUUUUACUGAGUUUUAAAUCAUUACCAAUAAGUUAGUGUUUGCCAUCAGGAAUCUGAGGACUUCAUCACAUUCAAAUAAUUUUGUUAGCUGUAACAUUCCCCAUGUUAAGAUUGGCAGAGGGAGUUUGGCCUGUCCAAAGUCGUGGAUAGUCAGAAGCAAUUAAUGGUUUCAGAUAACCUGAUUCUCAGACCCAUGCUUUAUCUAGUAGAAUUUCUCCUUGAUGUCUGUGAAUGCUACAAAUACAGUCUUUCUAAUGCUGGGUUUUGCUUUCUUUCUGGGAUUGCAUUUCUGGUCUUAUUUUAUGAGGUGUUUUAUUAUAGGCUUUCUUUGUGCAUCCUUUCCAUCACCCAAACUGUAUUUGAUGUGGCUGAGGAUAUUGGAUGCCCGUGAUAUUCUAUCCAUCUGUGGCUACUUCAGAGGAUCCUCUUGUCAUCAGACAAACUCUUCUAGCCACAUAAAAUAGAUUAGAAGGAGCAAGAAAAUGUUUAGACUAGCAUGGAAAAUGAUGUUUGUUCUGAUCACAGUAAGAAAUUGCCCUGAAACUAUAGGAAUUUCCUGUUGCUAAAAUAUUGUGUAGGUCCUAAAAACUUUGUAGGCUGUUGUUUCUCCUCUGGGCAGCUAGAAGGGUCAAAGUGCCUUGGGGUAGGACAUAGAAUUGCAGUAUUUAAGAGUUCAUCUAGUCAGGAAAUUAUGGUUGUAAAGUUGCAUAUCCCUGUCACUUAUCAUUACACAGCUCAUUAAAUCUCUGCUAAUUGCAGCUUCACCCUGGUAUCCAGGUCCUGAAACCCUAAAAUCAAAAUCAUUUUCCUGUUCUAGUCACUUAUUGUACAGAAAACAAUAGAAUUUAAAGGUUAAACUGGUUGUAAUAAAGUUAAAAUUACACCUUGGUUAUUCAGUCCUUUAGCUCAGUUGUUCAAGAGGUGAGUGCUUAUUCCCAGAAACAGCUGGAAAUGUAUUUGAAAUUAGAUAUUUUUUAGUGUAAGAUACUCUAGUUUGUGUGUGAAACUUACUUGUUUCUUUCUCAUUUACUCUUUGUUGCUUUUCUCUCCCUCUAACUGUCCAUUCUCAUGAAUAACUCCCUGAAGAAUUAUCUAUUACAUUUUUGUCAUCAUAUAGUAUGCUGUGAAGAGUCACAUUAUGUGUCUCUUUGACAACCAGAGAAAUGUUUCAUAAACAAAAUUACAUGAGAAAUUAUUUUAAUGGUGAUUUACUAUAAAUAGCACAUCCCUACACUUCACUGGAACUCUCAAAGUAUAUUUUUGUUUCCAAAAGGUUCUGUUGCCACUGUCCAGCUUAAAGAGCAUGCUGGAAUAUAUCAUAUCUUCUCCUUGAAAUAAAAAUAGCAUCUAACUCUUGGAUGCUUUUAACAACAUCAGAUAUUUUCUAUUAUCAUGAAGUAAAGAAAGAGCAUAAUUUAGAACUCAUCACAAUUUCACAUGAGUUUACCUCAGGAAUCACCCGCAAGUCAAAAUUGUGAUAGAGUGCCUUUUUUCUCCAGCAUGGGCUUUUGAAGAUGGAGAUGAGCUGCACCAAGCUUAGUUGUGUCUGCAUUUGAACUCUUGACUUUUACUUUGCAGUUAAAGAAAGUGAUCUCUUUCAGUCAUGUAUAAAUGAUAAUGAGGCAAAUGCCGUUUUUUCUUAUUCUCCCCAAACCACCUUUAUCUAUUGGCAAGUUUCUUUUGUUAAAAAAAGACUCGAAAAUAGACGUGUAUAUUUGUUAUGCAAGUUUUCUUAAGAAUUUAUGUAGCAGCGAGAAUCCUUCCACUACAAACUGCAUUCAUAUCACUGAAAUAAAUUAAAGGUUCUUGCCUUUUUGCAUGGAAUUUCUGAUUUUUCAACAUUUUCAUCAUCGUUAUUCUAACUUGAUCGGCAAGACUAGAACUGUCUUUUCAAAUAAGCAUCCUUGGCAAGUAAGUUCAAUUUUUAGUUAAACGUCUUGUUUUAGAUAUACCUUCACUGUGUAAUUGUCCAUGAGCAGCUGAAAUUGUAAGCGUGCUGACACAUUAGUCAUCACAGCUGUUUUUAUUAGGUUUUGCUAUACUUGUUAAACUAGUUUGCUUUUAGUAAUUAUAUUGUUCUUUUGUACUGGCUGUCUUUUCAGACAUGCUUUCUAUUUUUUUAAAGUAAUAAAGAACAAUCCUGAGGGGGGGGAAACCCAUAAAAUCAAAUUACAAAAAAUUAGAAUUGUAGUUAAUGUAAAUAUCUACCACGUGUAAGGGGAUUGUUCUCUAAGUUGUAAUAUGGCAUAACUUUAUUUUUUAAAAAGCCGCACUUUUAUUUGUAGAGAAUGGCAGUACAGUUUUGCAAGACUGCUCAUGAAUCUUCUGAUCCUAAAUAAUGAUGCCUGGAUACUAAUCAUUACUUGUUCCAAGACGAUCUCAGUACAGUUAUUCCUAUUAAGAAACUCUGGAACCCUUAAACUUUCUUAUGAGAGCUGUCACUGUACAUUUUCCAAAGCAGAGCAACUUUAUAAAUACUAACAAAUUAGGUCUUGUAGAACUUGAGUGAUAUAUGGAAUAUCUAAAUGGUACAGAUGAAAAAACACAGGGAUCAGAGAAGUUAACACUGGACUAACUGCACAGAAAAAUGUUGAGGAGCUGGCAGUUUUUCCCUGAACUAAAGCUCAUGUGGUGACCAAGCAGAGUCAUCUCGUGCCACUGUCGGUGACAUGCUCUCAGCCUCUGGGGACUCAGAACAAAAGACGGUCUUGUGAAGUUUGAUCCCAAAUCUCCUGCUUACGGAUGUGAACAGUACUUGUGUGACUGCUAUUUUUAACCUCUAGUCGCUUACUAUUUGAGACACAUAUAUGAAAUAUUGCUAUCUAGCCAUCAUCAGAACAAAUGAGUCUUGUAGGUUACAUCUGGAAUAAAUGAGGCAGUGUUCCAGGCUCUCCGGGAAAGCCUACAAGGGUUUCAUUUGGCUGUUGGGCCGAUAGCCUUCUUGGAGUCUUUUUCCCUUCCUCUGUUGAUUGAUGUUGAGGCACUCUACCCCUGCAUACUUCUUUCUGCACAGAAAUACAAACGUUCAGCCGUGAUUUUUCAAUUCAUCCCAGAUUAGUUAUUAAUUUGCAUUAAUUUAUCAAGUGCUAGAGGCCAAAAGUCUUCUUCCAGACCUAUUUUUUCUCUUGUUGACUAGUAUGAAGGGGAUAGGAGAACAGCUGAAUAAUAUGAGCAUGAUAGUCUUCAUGCAGCCUGUUUUAUAUACUAAAAAGUGCCCAUGCUAUUACUCUUUUUGAAGCUGAUACUGCUGGAGUCUUGCUGAGACGCCUCUGUUUAUUCCUAACAUUGCAGCUGUGCACCUGAUAGGCAUGCGGAGAAUUUGAAGGUGCUGGCUCUCCCCUGGAUAGAUUUGUUUAACUCUUGAGGUCCUGCUAGCCCAGGUGGCAGCCUGGGGGCAAUCUGCAAUGACUCUGAUAUUUCAGGCACUGCGCAUUGCGUUGGGAAAGCCUCGGCGCGGAUGGGAGCAGGGCUGCUCAGCAGGGCAGCAGGGCUCAGAAGGGGCUCUGCAGAGCACGUGCCAGGCUCCCAGUGCUGCGUGUGCCCCUCACAGCCUCCAAAAGUUAUAACAGGAAUGACAGCUCUGGAACACAAUAACAUUUCUAACUUAAAUGCUAUGAGUUUUAUUUGGUUAUCACUCUCCCCCCAGGCAAGGAAAAAUAAGGGGAUAUGAGAUAAUCUGGAGUUUCUUCAAAAAGCUCAGACAAUAAUUGAUUUUGAAAGACUGAGAAAUAUUUAGCUCCCAAGCCAAGUUCAACACCCUCCGCAGUGCUGGAGCAUGUGGCUCGGUGAGCUCUGGAGUCCACUCUGACAGAGCAGAGCAAUGCCCUCUCCACACCCCCCCAGCACCAGCUGGCGGGGAGGAAUCGAGGAAGGCAGGCAAAAAUCAGGGAUAUGAAUCCAUAAAGAGCUGUUGGGAAAGGCCAUGAGGGAGUGCUCCUGGGCUUGUAUCAUCCAGGAAUAUUUGUCAUAGUUAUUUCUGAAUGGACUGUAAAAUGUUAAAGCUGUUUCACGGUAACCUUGCUCAUUAAUUCCUGAAAGACAAAAUCCAUGAUGUGCAACAGCCCAUGACUGCGCACUUCUUUCUGAACUUGUCACGCUGUUCAGGAACGUUAUUGCAUUGUCUUUCUCUCACAGGAAAACAAUUAGCAGAAGCAUCUCUUUUCCUAUUUCAGUCAGUCACCGGUGUCUCAUUUCAAAUUUUGGAUCUAAUUUUGCAUUUACUUUAGCAAUUAGGAACACCCUGGUAAAAAGCUGUAGAACUUCACUUUGAAAAGGCCAAAAUAAAUACAGACAUUGUUGUCGGCUUGUGGUUUUGUUUUUGCUUUGGAA